GAUGAACGCUAGCGGCGUGCCUAAUACAUGCAAGUCGAGCGAACGGACGAGAAGCUUGCUUCUCUGAUGUUAGCGGCGGACGGGUGAGUAACACGUGGAUAACCUACCUAUAAGACUGGGAUAACUUCGGGAAACCGGAGCUAAUACCGGAUGAUAUUUUGAACCGCAUGGUUCAAAAGUGAAAGACGGUCUUGCUGUCACUUAUAGAUGGAUCCGCGCUGCAUUAGCUAGUUGGUAAGGUAACGGCUUACCAAGGCAACGAUGCAUAGCCGACCUGAGAGGGUGAUCGGCCACACUGGAACUGGGACACGGUCCAGACUCCUACGGGAGGCAGCAGUAGGGAAUCUUCCGCAAUGGGCGAAAGCCUGACGGAGCAACGCCGCGUGAGUGAUGAAGGUCUUCGGAUCGUAAAACUCUGUUAUUAGGGAAGAACAUAUGUGUAAGUAACUGUGCACAUCUUGACGGUACCUAAUCAGAAAGCCACGGCUAACUACGUG
rnacentral:rRNA from 1 species